CCUACGGGGGGCAGCAGUGAGGAAUAUUGGUCAAUGGGCGAGAGCCUGAACCAGCCAAGUCGCGUGAGGGAAGAAGGUCCAAUGGAUUGUAAACCUCUUUUGCCGGGGAGCAAAAAGCGGUACUCGUACCCCAUCGAGGGUACCCGGAGAAAAAGCAUCGGCUAACUCCGUGCCAGCAGCCGCGGUAAUACGGAGGAUGCGAGCGUUAUCCGGAUUUAUUGGGUUUAAAGGGUGCGCAGGCGGCGAGUUAAGUCAGCGGUAAAAGGUCGGGGCUCAACCCCGACAAGCCGUUGAAACUGGCGUGCUAGAGUGGGAGAGAAGUAUGCGGAAUGCGUGGUGUAGCGGUGAGAUGCAUAGAUAUCACGCAGAACUCCGAUUGCGAAGGCAGCGUACCGGCUCCAAACUGACGUUGAGGCUCGAAAGCGUGGGUAGCGAACAGGAUUAGAUACCCGGGUAGUC
rnacentral:rRNA from 1 species